CCCAAUGCCCAGCUUCUUUGUUUCCUGGCUGACAGCUAAGUCAGGUAAAUGAUACUGACAGUGACUUCCUUAUUCAUGCAUAAGAACAGCAGCCUAAAAAGGAAUAACUUGAGCCUUAGGAGUUCAACAGCAAAAAUACAGCAGAAUAUAAUACAAUUGCAGCAUCCCUAAAGAAAGGUACAUGUAUGUAAUACACAGAUAGUGAUUUGUUUUGCCUGUUCAUACUUGAUGAUUAAUUUUUGUUAGUAAAAUCUUAAUGAUCAGUAUUUCCAAAAUCAGUCUUUCCUGUAGUGGUAACCAUUUCUGUAAAUCAUUUAGAAAAUAAGAGUGGUUAUCAAUUUAUUAUUUGCUUAUUAUUUAUAUUUUACAAAACUUUGGAAAUGCAAAAUUCCGUGAAACUUUUUGUUAUCUUACGUUUGUAUAAAAAGUCCUAAAAUGUAUGUCUUUGUUAAAGUGUUAAUCAAAUUUUUCGUGGUACCUUAUGAAUAAAAUAUGGUCCAGAUGCUAGCAUUGUUUGGUAGAUUUUGAAACUAUAUGAUCAACCUUUUCUAAAGAUUAUUAGUUCUAUUUCAUUAUGAUUCUCUUUCAUUGUGAAAGAUAGAUUUCUAGCUGGAUCCUGUCCAUGUUCCCUAUUAUUAUUAAUUUUCAUACAGAAGGAAUGAUUACAUGAAACUGUGAGGGGGAAAUAAUAACUAGAGAUUAAAAUAUAAAGAUCCAAAAGUAUAGUGACUUAAUGAGUGCUGUGCCAAAACAGAUAGAAAUCAAAGCUCCAUUUAAUGAGCACCAGUUCCAGACACUAUAGAUAUUUUCCAGGUUGUAUUUGUUAACCUAGGGAGGAUUGUACCUCUUUUUAAUCUCUCGGAUUCUAGGUUAGCAGUUUUUUGGGUAAUUAAUGAUUUUCUUUUUUUUUAAAUUUUUUUUUAAUGUUUAUUUAUUUUUGAGACAGAGAGAGACAGAGCAUGAACAGGGGAGGGUCAGAGAGAGGGAGACACAGAAUCCGAAACAGGCUCCAGGCUCUGAGCGGUUAGCACAGAGCCCGAUGCGGGGCUCAAACUCACGGACAGCGAGAUCAUGACCUGAGCCGAAGUCGGACGCUCAACCGACUGAGCCACCCAGGCGCCCCUGAAUGAUUUUCUUUUUUAGCAAAAACUAAUUUUUGAAGUCAAUUGAUCAAUGAAAAUAAUGAUCAUUAGUCCAAGUAUUGUUUUCAUUAGUUCUCUUUUACAUGAGUCCCAGUGAUUCCUUCUUUAAAGUGUUCUAACCCAACUUAAAUGGAUUCAUAAUCAUUAUAUUCUAAAUCACUAACUCAUUAAAUUCUAUAAUUUUAAAUCUGCUCAAGCUCCCUUAUUUUUCAAGAAGAGAGAUUGAGCCUCAAAGAAGUUAAGUUGCAUAUCCAAAGUCAUGUCCCAUAGUAAUGACCUAGUCGGGACCAGAAUCCAAGUCUCUUGAACUCUUGUUUUACCUAUAGCGUGUCUUCACUCUCAUGCUUUCUGGCCUCUUUUUCUUGUGCUAUUUUCCAAAUUCUUUUAUAUUUACAUUGAAAAAUAAAUUCUCAGAGGCCCAUUUGGAGUUUGCCAUGUGAAUACGAAGGUAUGCACCAACUUAAUGAAGUAGAAUUUUAAGUUAUAAAAUUAUUCUAAUUCAUGAUAAAACUCAAAUUAGUACUGAUAGUUCUACAUUAUAUUCCCCAAUAUUCAAUCUCAAAUGUGUGGCUGUUACUUCUGUAGAAGUUCAUCUUUAUAUUUAAUCCCUCAUGUGGCUUUUAGAAGACUAGAAGCUCAUCUUGAAAGAGAAGAUGAAAGACGAGUCAAGUGUGCAGGUAAGAUUACUCUUCCUCAGUUUGUGAAGAACUAAAUUGUUUACAGUUAGGUACUUUGAAACUAUUACACAUGUCUGACUUUUUCUAAUGAGUUCUUUUUCUUUUUCAGGAUGACUAAAAUCUGAAGAGUAUGGCAUAGUGUGUAUUGGGUUUUCAUUUUGUUUCCGAAUGUAUUUUCUGUCAAACUUCAUAAUAAAAUCUCAGCAAAGUCUGUUUGUCUUUUCUCUGUCAGUAUUUCCUGUGUAUGCAUUUCUUUCUCCAUAGAACUGUCUUUUCCUUACAUUGGAAGAAUGUAAAAUGAUCUUCUAGAAGUAACUUCCUAUUUGGUUCAUAACAUAAAAUCAGUCCAAGCUAAAGUUAAAUUAGUGAAACAAUUUCAAACGUCAUCUUUUUGAUGAAUAGGCCCGUGUUUAAUUUGCGCUCUUUUUCUCUUUAUUUCAUUUGUGAGAAAAUUCUGCUUUCUGUAGAAGUAAAAUUCCAGUGACAGUUUGUUUAUUCAUUUAUUUACUCAUUCAUCACCAUGUUCAUUGACCAAACAUUAAGUGCUAUACACAUACACAGACACAGUAUUUUGCAAGAUAGAUUUUAUUUCCAGACUCAUGGAAUUUAGAUUUCAACAUGGGAGAAAGACAUUGAUAUUAUUAGGUCUGUUGGCUAUUAAAAUAAUGUGUGAUAAGUGGUGAGAAUUUCUACUUCUUGGUCCUCCUUUUCCCUUGGCUUCUUUGCCAUAUCCUAUAAGUUGAGUUUUAGUUUCUUUAUUGUUACAGGUUUUUUUUAUUUAAUAUGCAUACAUUUCAACUUUUUUUUUUUUUCAACUGGUUUCCACUCAUAGGAGAGCAGAGACUCAGGUUUAUAGCCUGCCAAGACACAGCUCUGAUACCAGUCUUCUUCAGAUUGAAGAAACUUUAUUGUCAUUCCUAUCAUUUCUUCUGGGGACAAAAGUAUAGAAAAAGAGAUCUGGUUUAUACUCUCCAGUGACAAAAGAUUUCAAAGCAAGGAAGAUAUUGGGUAUAAAGAGCAAGAGUUGAAGAAUGCACAGUUGAACAUGAGAGGAACAGACAACUUGUCUUCCAAGAACUCAUUCAAAUUAUGUCUUCAGUUUGAAAGCUGCGAUGGAAGUUCAGUAACUUCAAAGCAUGCGUGGAAGUUUCUGUAUACACGCAGUGAAAUCAGCUGACAAGGUAACUGGGUUGGCAAGUGCUUCUGAGACUCCUGAGAAGUAAAAAUGUGAUCAUCAAAAAAUCCUGGAUAGUCUGUGACUGCUUCAUCCACAGAAUGAUCCCAGGGUACAGAGUGUCGGCCAGGUGGCCUGACUAGAGGUUCUCUGGAUUGGAUCUGCUGCUUGUGGACCUGCCAUCAAGGAGGUUGACUAAACAGACCUGAAAACAAGUAUAUUUCCCGGAAGUCACAAAAAUUCAAAGAUAAAAACAUUUGGCCUAAAUUUCAACAUUAGACCUUAGGUUUGGGACUUCGCCUUCCACAACUGUAAAACUAGUCAGACUGGAUGAUGAGCUCUUCUUUCUAGGCAUUGAGCAAUAGGCAGCGUAGGGCUGCCAUCCUUGAAAGAAGGGGAAGUAUGAAGCGAGCCCCACAACCUCUCCAGGUUUCUGCCGUGGAACACUUUCCUGUUGCAGUGCAGGGUGGGCAGAAUUCAGGCGAAGGUGCAGUCCCAUCCAGCUAGGGAAGCAGAGGUUAGAGUUCUGGGCUGCUAACAUGGCUGCAGCGUGUGAGUUCGUGUGCUAGAGAGGAAGGAACCGCACAGAGGGAGACUCCUAGAAGUCUGUGUGCAGGUUCGCCUCCAGUUCAGCUCCAGGCUAACACUGUACCUGAGCUAGACCGUACGUCACAAGGCCUAGCACCAGCCACCUGCUCUAAGGCUGAGAGCUGACAGGGAUACCAGCAGUCACCCAGUUCUGGGCGUUGUUGACAUUAGACCCUGCUGAGCACCUUGGUGAUUCUCUUGAUAUCCCAGCGAGGCCCUCUGUAAGAGUAAGGAUCACUUCUUAGCAUAAAAGCCAUAUCCUAGAACUAAGUUCAAACUGAAAUAGACCUGCUUUAACAAAGAAUAAAGUGAAGCCUGAUAAAACCAAAGGAUUCUCCAGUAGUUUAACGGCAAGGUGUAGAGCAAAGCUCACCACCUGUGAAGAUGGAUGACACAAUACAGACUCCCUUCAACAUAUUAUCCACUCUGUCCAGCAUUCAAUCAAUGAGAAGUUCCUGGACAUGUAAAAUAAAGAUUCAAAGUCAAAAGUAGGAAAAUGUGACCCAUAAUAAAGAAGUUGGGGCAUCUGGGUGGCUCUGUUAGUUGCACACCCGACUCUUGAUUUUGGCUCAGGUGAUGAUCUCAUGUUUCAUGCACUCAAGCCCUACAAGACCUCCGCUCUGACAGCAUGGAGCCUUUGGAUUCUCUCUUGCCCUCUCUGUCUCUGUCCCUCCCCUGCUCUCUCAAAAACGGAAAGAAAGAAAGAAAGAAAGAAAGAAAGAGAAAGAAAGGAAGGAAGAAAGAAAGGAAAGAAGAAAUUAGAAACAGACUUCAAGAUGAACUAGAUGCACAAAUUAGCAGCUAUGGAUUUUUAAAGCAGCUGCUAAAGUAUGUUUUAAUAUUGAGAAGAAAAAAAAAUGUCCAUAAAGAGUGAACAGAGAGAAUAUCAGCAGAGAAAAUAACAACUUUAUAAUGAAUAAAACGAAGUCUAGUACUGAAAAGUUCGAUAUCUGAUACAUAAAAUUACCUGGAUGAGUUCAGUAUCACUGGAUAGAGACUGUAGAAGAAAGGGCUAUGGAACCUGACGACAAAUACAAACACAGUGUGCAAUGCUGAAGAUUUAAAUCCCCUUCCCCCUCCUUUUGCUCUUCCCCUUGCCAAAAGAUAGACAAGUUACAUUAAAAGGUAGGUGAUAAUCUGGCUUUAGAUUUCUUAGCUAUGUAGCUACAUGCAAAGCUGUAAGAAAAUGGAGCAACUUGAGUUUUGAGGAGGUAGAGUUGUGAAUUGGGAUUUUCUCUGAUUCAUGUUUUUUUUUAACAAGUUUGUAAAAGAUUAUGUUUAUAUGCCUUUCUUUUAAACUUAAAAAAAAAGCUGCUACUUAAAGACAUACUUUAGAAGACCUUGGGAUGUGGGGACAGUUGUACUAGAAAUGAUUGUCCUUUAUGGAACUCUCUUCUAAGGAAAUAAUCAAAAUAUGUGCAAAUAUUUUCGUACAUUUUUUGUUGCCAUAUGUAUUGGAAAAUACCUUAUUGUUGAGUAAGUGUUCAUAUAAGUAAAUAUGCAACCAUUAAAAUAUACUAACAACUGAUGUAAGGAAAUGCUUUUUUUAAUAGUGAGGAAAAAAGCAAGAUACAGAUUUGUAUACUAAAUAAAAAUUUAUAUUAAGUGGCAGGAAAUACGGAAAAUUUUGUCUCUUGAUUAUGGGAAUUCAUGAUGGCCUUAUUUUUCUGUUUGUAUAUUUUCCAAAAUUUCUGUAAAGAACACAUAAUUCAAACCUUAAAAAAUUAGAUCCGUGUGUAUAGGGGGACAGUUAGAAGAGAUUAAUCUGAUAAUGCCUGUGAAUCUAUUAAUUGAGACUUUUUCAUCUAAAAAUUCUAAUUAUAAACAUGGAAGAAAGAAUGUAACCUUUAAAAUAUUUUGGGAAGGUGCUCACUUUAGCACCACAUGUUACUAAAAUUGGAGCGACACAGAGAAGAUAAGCACGGCCCCCUGCACAGGGAUGACACACAAAUUUGUGAAGCUUCCGUGUUUUAAAAAAUAAUAAUAGAAUAUUUUGGGGAAAGAUAAAAAACAUUGUCCCAAGUGAAAGAUGACUUACACGACAGUUUAUGCCAUGAUAUCAUGCAUAUGAAAUUCUAGAAUAGGCAAAACUGAUCAGUGGUGGGGAAAACACGUCAGAGCAAUGGUUAUUUCUAGGGACAAGGACAGGAAUUGAUUGGGAAGAAUAUGCACGGUCUUUCUUGGAUCAUGAUGAAUUUCUAUAUCUUGUUAACGAUUUGAGUUAUGUAGGUGUGUACAUUGUCAAAACUCAAUAUAUAUUUAAGAUCUAUUCAUUUGUAUGUAAAUUUUACAUAAAAAGAAAAGUACUGCCAACAAAAAGGUGGGGAACAAAUAGUUUUGUGAAAAUGUACAAAGUCUACUCCUUGCUGGCUUUAUCCUCAUAUCCUAUGGUCUUAGAUAAGUAUUCCAGAGUAAUAAGAUAGUUAUAAAUUCAAUGUACUCUAGUUAGCACCUUGUGCUUGCUUCUCUUAAUACUUGCUACAUUGUACUGGACUUAUUGCAUACCUCGAAUGGACUGUGAACUCUUGGAGGGCAGGAAAUCCCUGCCUUCUGGCACAUAGCUGGCGUGUGCCCAAUAAAUAGUUAAUAGGUUAAUAAGUAAGUAUCCCUCGGCCCUUGUUCCCACCUCUUACCUGUAACAAAAAUGUUUCUCUAUUCAUUACAAUUAUUAGUUCUGUAUCCUUUUUUUAAUAAUAUUAAUUGCUAAGUGGAAUUAACAAAAUAGCAAAGUUAAUCCUUUAACAUUUGUUAUUUCAAGUUGUUUGUUCAAGGGGCUUGCUUAAAAUUGUAUCAAAAUGUUAGUGUGGCUUAAAUAUCUGUCUUUGAAAACUAUGAUUGAGUUUGUGGUCAGGUUGUGGGUCUCCAGUUGCAAAGUGUUUUAGGAGGAAAUAUUACACACUAUAAUUAAAUCAUUCUGUGACAUUUAUAGUAAAGUUACUAGAGUAAAAAAAAAAAAAAAA